CACGGGGGGAGUAAGCGUUGUUCGGAAUCACUGGGCGUAAAGGGCGUGUAGGCGGUCAGGUAAGUGGGACGUGAAAUCCCUCGGCUCAACCGUGGAACUGCUUGGUAUACUGGCGAUCUUGAGCCAGCUAGGGGCUACCGGAACAAACGGUGGAGCGGUGAAAUGCGUAGAUAUCGUUUGGAACGCCAAUGGUGAAAACAGGUAGCUGGGGCUGUGCUGACGCUGAGACACGAAAGCCAGGGGAGCGAACGGG
rnacentral:rRNA from 1 species